rnacentral:rRNA from 1 species
GGGGAAUUUUGGACAAUGGGCGCAAGCCUGAUCCAGCGACGCCGCGUGGAGGACGAAGGCCUUCGGGUUGUAAACUCCUUUUGGAGGGGAAGAAUAAAUUGACGGUACCCUCAGAAAAAGCCACGGCUAACUACGUGCCAGCAGCCGCGGUAAUACGUAGGUGGCGAGCGUUACUCGGAAUUACUAGGCGUAAAGCGUAUGUAGGUGGUUAGAUAAGUCUAUGGUGAAAUUUCCUGGCUUAACUGGGAAGGGACAUAGAUACUAUCUGGCUUGAGUGUGGGAGGGGGAGACGGAAUUCCUGGUGUAGCGGUGAAAUGCGUAGAUAUCAGGAGGAACACCGAUGGCGAAAGCAGUCUCCUGGCCCAAUACUGACACUGAGGUACGAAAGCUAGGGUAGCAAACA